rnacentral:rRNA from 1 species
GAUGAACGCUGGCGGCGUGCUUAACACAUGCAAGUCGAACGAAGCACUUUUACAGAUUUCUUCGGAAUGAAGUUUUAGUGACUGAGUGGCGGACGGGUGAGUAACGCGUGGGUAACCUGCCUCACACAGGGGGAUAACAGUUGGAAACGGCUGCUAAUACCGCAUAAGCGCACAGUACCGCAUGGUACAGUGUGAAAAACUCCGGUGGUGUGAGAUGGACCCGCGUCUGAUUAGCUAGUUGGCAGGGCAA